UUCGCAAUGCCCGAAAGGAUGACGAUGCGACGCCGCGUGAGCGAAGAAGGCCCUAGGGUUGUAAAGCUCUGUCGAGGGUUAUGAAAUAUAGAUGGGUUAAUACCCCAUUUAUUUGACAAAAGCCCAAAAGGAAGCCACGGCUAACUCUGUGCCAGCAGCCGCGGUAAUACAGAGGUGGCGAGCGUUGUUCGGUAUUAUUGGGCGUAAAGAGCACGUAGGUGGUUUUGUAAGUCAGGUGUGAAAGCCUUCUGUUCAAAGGAAGAACGGCAUCUGAAACUGCAGAUCUUGAGUGUAGGAGGGGAGAGUGGAACUUCUGGUGGAGCGGUGAAAUGCGUAGAUAUCAGAAGGAACGUCGGCGGCGAAAGCGACUCUCUGGCCUAUUACUGACACUGAGUGUGCGAAAGUUAGGGGAGCAAACGGGAUUAGAUACCCCGGUAGUCCUAACCGUAAACGAUGGGCACUAAGUAGAGGGGUUUU
rnacentral:rRNA from 1 species